rnacentral:rRNA from 1 species
ACGAACGCUGGCGGCAGGCUUAACACAUGCAAGUCGAGCGCGUAGCAAUACGAGCGGCAGACGGGUGAGUAACGCGUGGGAAUCUACCCAUCUCUACGGAAUAACCCAGGGAAACUUGGAUUAAUACCGUAUACGUCCUUCGGGAGAAAGAUUUAUCGGAGAUGGAUGAGCCCGCGUUGGAUUAGCUAGUUGGUGGGGUAAUGGCCUACCAAGGCGACGAUCCAUAGCUGGUCUGAGAGGAUGAUCAGCCACACUGGGACUGAGACACGGCCCAGACUCCUACGGGAGGCAGCAGUGGGGAAUAUUGGACAAUGGGGGCAACCCUGAUCCAGCCAUGCCGCGUGAGUGAUGAAGGCCCUAGGGUUGUAAAGCUCUUUCACCGGUGAAGAUAAUGACGGUAACCGGAGAAGAAGCCCCGGCUAACUUCGU